GGAGGCCCUGAUCGAAGCCAUGUUCAGCUGAACACGUAGCUCAUGUGGUCAAAACAGGUGCCCAGAGUGAGUUCCCUUCCAUAGACGGUCGCUGCUCAGUCUUCAAUUGUGUCUGACUAGCAACAUUUGUAUGGAAGACAAUA